UAAGGAAUAUUGGACAAUGGAGGCAACUCUGAUCCAGCCAUGCCGCGUGAAGGAAUAAGGCCCUAUGGGUUGUAAACUUCUUUUAGACGGGACAAAACCCCUUUACGUGUAAAGGGUUGAUGGUACUGUCAGAAUAAACAUCGGCUAACUUCGUGCCAGCAGCCGCGGUAAUACGAAGGAUGCAAGCGUUAUCCGGAAUUAUUGGGUUUAAAGGGUGCGUAGGCGGACUAAUAAGUCAGUGGUGAAAGCCUGCAGCUUAACUGCAGAAUUGCCAUUGNGACUGUUAGUCUUGAGUACAGUUGAGGUAGGCGGAAUGUGUCAUGUAGCGGUGAAAUGCUUAGAUAUGACACAGAACACCGAUUGCGAAGGCAGCUUGCUAAGCUGUAACUGUCGCUGAGGCACGAAAGCGUGGGGAGCAAACA
rnacentral:rRNA from 1 species